AAAAAGAAAAAAAAAAAGAAUUUGGGAGGUGGAUGUGAUUUGGCCAGUUUGGAGGCAGGUCUAAGAGAAUGGCUUCCUGGAACGUUCUCGAACCCAAAGGGAGCAGGAGCGGGGACACCUCUGCUUUGGUGUUGACUGGACACGGCGAUGAAGGAGGUGGAGCCGCUCCUCUGGGUCACCGAGGUGUCCUUGGACCACUGAAUGGGUCACCCUAGAACCUCUCACCAUUGCCCUCCUCGUUCCAUGAGAUAACAGUGUUUUCUUCUCUAAGCCAGUUUCAGUUAUUUCUGGAAUUUAGUCCUAAGAGUAUCCUUGAUAUGUCAGCGUGGUGGGGACACAGGCACUUUUAUCUGGCUAGGGAUGGUUUAAAUUGAUACAACUUUGUCAGGGCAAUAGCUAUCACAGCUCAAGUAUCAGAGUUCUCUUGUGGCUCAGCAAGUGAGUCACGUUGUCAGCCUUGUCACUGCUGCAGCAUAGGUUCCAUCCCUGGCCUGGGAACUUCUGCAUGCCGUGGGAAUGGCCAAAAAAAAAUCCCCUUAAAUAUCUAUCCCCCACCCCCCCCCUUUUUUUCCAUUUUUGGCCAUCCCUUGGCACAUGGAGUCCCAGGCCAGGGAUCUGCUCUGAGCCAUAGUCGCAACCUACACCACAGUGGUGGUAACGCCAGAUUCUUACCCCACUGUCCUGGGCCGGAUAUUGAACCUGCAACCAGGUGCUCCCAAGACACCACCCACCCUGCUGCACCACAGCAAAGAACUCCAAUACUUAUUUCCCUUGAGAAGUAAUGACACAGCUAGGGAUACAUCUCACAGAAGAGCUGUCACAGUUAAACUAAAUUUCAUGGGGAAGCAUAUUUGCAGGAGUAAAAGAUGAGAAACAGCGUAGAUAUUCAUCAAUGUGGGUCCAGUUAAGUAAAUUUAGGUAUAUCCUCGCAACAGGAGACUAAGGGGAAGUUUUUUCCUAAAGAUAUUCGUCCUGCAUGAAAAGGUGUAGGUUUUGUUUGUUUGGGGUUUUGUUUUUUGGGUUUGUUUUGGCCACACUCACAGCACGCAGAAGUGCCCAGGCCAGGGAUCUAACACGUGCCGCAGUAGUGACAAUGCUGGAUCCCUAACCCUCCUGCGCCACCAGGGAACUUGGAAAGAUGUAGUUUAAUUUUUUUUUCAAUGGCUGCACCCAUGGCCUAUGGAAAUUCCCAGGCCGGGGAUUGAGUCUGAGCUGCACCUGCAGCAGUGCUGAAUCCUUUAACCCACUGCACGGGGCCAGAGAUUGAACCAGCACCUCCUCAGAGGCCCCAGCCGCUGUAGUCGGGUUCUUAACCCACUGCGCCCCAGCAGGAGCUCCACUGGAAAGACGGGGUUUACAGAGCAGGUUGUUGCAAAUCAGUGUGUGAAUUACAGUCUCAUCUGUGUAAGCGCAUUAUGGAUAAAUGACCCCAUCUUCUGGCUAGAACGGACCCCUCUUGUUUCGGCCCAUCCCACACCCAACCCCUCUUUUCCUGCGAGGGGUAGCAUCCUGAUGUCACCCCUCAGGCCCUGGCUCCAGCCAUGACACCAGAGGGCAGGGACUCAGGACCCAUGCCUGGCAUAGCUGAGGGUGAUUGUCUGAAGAGGGGCCCGUGAACCCUAAUGAAACCCAGUUGCACACUUGAGCCAGAACCCCUGGAAAGAGAACCUCUCUUUUCCUUCUUUCAUCUUCUUGUGUGUGUGUGUGUGUGUGUGUGUGUGUGUGUGUCUUCUUAGGGCCGUACCUGCGGCACACGGAGGUUCCCAGGCUAGGGGUCCAAUCAGAGCUGUAGCCACCGGCCUACACCACAGCCACAGCAACACGGGAUCCCAGCCUCGUCUGCAACCUACACUGCAGCUCACGGCAAUGCCAGAUCCUUCAUCCACUGAACGAGGCCGGGGAUCCAACUUGUGUCCUCACGGAUGCUAGUCAGAUUCAUUUCCGCUGUGCCACGAUGGAAACGCAGAGAAUCUCUCUUUUCACUUGAAGCUGCAGUUGGGGGUUGGGGCGCCACGAGGCCGCCGGAGAGCUGAGAAGCGAAGGGUCGCAGGUCCCGACAAGGACGCGUGUGCCCUGGAUCUUGACUUGACUGCAUAUGCUUUCUGUGCCCUGGGCUUUGAAAUUAGGAGUCAGUAGAUGCUUCCUAACUUUCUCUUUUUCCUCAAGUCAUUUCAGGGUGGUUUUCUUUCCCAUGCAACUGAAAGAUUCCUGAUGAAUUCACAAACAUAUACACUGAUGGGUUUUUACAAGAAACCUCUGGAAGACUGUGUUAUUAGCUGUGAAGGGUGAUUGUUUCUGGGAGUUCCCUUCAUGGCUCAGCAGUUACAAACCCAGCUAGGAUCCAUGACAAAGAGGGUUCAAUCCCUGGCCUUGCUUGGUGGGUUAAAGAUUUGGCGGUGCCGUGAGCUGUGUGUAGGUUGAAGAUGCAUCUGGAUCCCACAUGUCUAUGGCUGUGGCAGAGGCCGGCAGCUGCAGCUCUGAUUCAACCCCUCACCUGGGAACCUCCAUAUGCCUCAGAUUUGGACCUCAAAUAACAAACAAAAAAAGUGGUUGUCUCUGGAGGUUGGGAUUUUAGGAGAGUGAACCUUUCUAAAUCACAGUUUUGCUGUCCAACAUGGUCACCUGUAGCCAGUGUGACGGUUGAGCCCUCGAAAUGUGGCCAGAUGGAGACUGAUGUACAUGCAGAAGGCAUUGAAAAAGAAGGUAGGAGUUCCCCUCGUGGCACAGUGGAAACCAGUCCAACUAGGUACCGUGAGGUUGUGGGUUCGAUCCCUGGCCUCGCUCCGUGGGUUAAGGAUCCUGCGUUGCCGUGAGUUGUGUGUAGGUCGAAGACGUGGCUAGGGGUCGAAUCAGAGCUGUAGCUCCCAGCCUACCCCACAGCCACAGCAACACAGGAUCUGAGCCUCAUCUGCGCCCUACACUGCAGCUCAUGGCAACACCGGCUCCUUAACCCACUGAGCAAGGCCGGGGAUGGAACCUGCAUCCUUACGGAUCCUAGUUGGGUUCGUUAAGCCACUAAGCCACGAAGGGAACUCCUUUCCCAGGAGUUGAAAUGUGGUGGCCAAGAACGUCAGCCAUGGGAAGUGCUGACUUCCAGCCCCCAUCAGAUUUCAACUCCGAACCACACAGAGUGUCGCAGGUCCUGGGGCUCUGAGAGUGAACCUGGGGCUGGGGCGGGGGUGGACUUGGGGGAGUGACACUUGACGUUUGCCCACUGGUCACCGACCUGCAGACUUUACCUGCACCCUGGGCGGUCCAUGCCGCUCUCCCAUUGGUCAGUCUUCCCCAGAGCGUUUGCGGACCUGCUCCAUCAUCCCCGGAGGGAGAUGCAGCUUCCGGUGUGGGUCUGUGCCGUUCCACCCCCGCUGCAGCCCCCGGUCCUGUUCUCCCUCCAUCCCUCCCUCUCUGUCUUGGGCUCACCGUCUCUGUUGCUCUCACAGAAAAUGAAAAGCACUAACACACCAGAUUUUAGAAACUGGAACACAGAUGAUUCAGUGGAACUGACUUAGCAGAGCAGAGCAAUCUGACGGCUGAGCCAUCAGAGGGCGAAGCCAAGGAACCAUCUGAUCUCCGCAGGACCCUCCCCCACCCCAAGAAAGCCUGCAGAAUCCAGGGCUCCCAGGACAGCUGAAACCAGGAAGAUUGGUACCAAGUGUUGAAUCCAGUGGGCCCCCAGACCCGCCUUCCCCCUUCUUAUCCGGCUGGGAGACGCCUUCUCCUCCACCUGAGACCAAGGCAGGGAGAAUUCAUCUCAAAAGCAGGGGAUUUAAUGAAAUCUGCUUUCUCAAAUCUGACUGGUAUCCAUGAGGACGCAGGUUCGAUCCCUGGCCUCACUCAGUGUGUUAAGGAUCCAACAUUGCUGUGAGCUGUGGUGCGUAGGUCACAGACAUGGCUCGGAUCUGGCCUCACUGUGGCUCUGGUGUAGGCCGGCAGCUGUAGCUCCCCUUAGACCCCAAGCCUAGGAACCUCCAUAUGCCAUGGGUGUGGCC
rnacentral:lncRNA from 1 species